ACGGAACGACUUAGUGCGGGAUAAUUGGGUGUGUGAUUGCUAAAAGCAUUACAUAGCAGGCGGGAGACGGUGCAGCCCGCGUACACCGCGCGUCGAGUGUGACCGCUAUAUUGGUUUAAGGUUCUGUAGCCCGCCGAUAAGUCUCUUGGGAAUCUGCCCGCUCAACGGUCAGGCUUUCAGGAGAUACUGUCUGGCUCGAGCCGGGAGAGGUGAGAGGUACUUCAGGGGUAGGGGUGAAAUCUUGUAAUCCCUUGAAGGACCACCAGUGGCGAAGGCGUCUCACCAGAACGGACCUGACGGCAAGGGACGAAAGCUAGGGGCACGAACCGGAUUAGAUACCCGGGUAGUCCUAGCCGUAAACGAUACUCGCUAGGUGUCGGCCACGGUGCGACCGUGGUCGGUGCCGCAGGGAAACCGUGAAGCGAGCCACCUGGGAAGUACGGCCGCAAGGCUGAAACUUAAAGGAAUUGGCGGGGGAGCACCACAACGGGUGGAGCUUGCGGUUUAAUUGGAUUCAACGCCGGAAAUCUUACCGGGAUCGACAGCGAUAUGAAGGCCAGGAUGAAGACCUUGCUGGAUUAGCUGAGAGGUGGUGCAUGGCCGUCGUCAGUUCGUACUGUGAAGCAUCCUGUUAAGUCAGGCAACGAGCGAGACCCACGCCCACAGUUGCCAGCGUUCCCUCCGGGGAGAUGGGUACUCUGUGGGGACCGCCGCUGCUAAAGCGGAGGAAGGAAUGGGCAACGGUAGGUCAGUAUGCCCCGAAUGUCCCGGGCUACACGCGAGCUACAAUGGAUGGUACAAUGGGCAUCGACUCCGAAAGGGGAAGGAAAUCUCAUAAAGCCAUUCUUAGUUCGGAUUGAGGGCUGCAACUCGCCCUCAUGAAGCUGAAUCCGUAAUGGCUUACGAGGGGGAAUCCGGCUUACCGAACAAAAA
rnacentral:rRNA from 1 species